rnacentral:rRNA from 1 species
GGUAAACGCUGGCGGCGUGCCUAAAACAUGCAAGUCGAACGGGUAGCCUUCGGGCUGCCAGUGGCAGACGGCUGAGUAACACGUGGGUAACCUGCCCGGAAGUGGGGAAUACCUCGGGGAAACUCGAGCUAAUACCGCAUAACAUCUUUAGGACGAUGGUCCUGACGAUCAAAGCGGGGUCGCAAGAUCUCGCGCUACCGGAUGGGCCCGCGCCUGAUUAGCUAGUUGGUGGGGUAACGGCUCACCAAGGCUUCGAUCAGUAGCCGGUCUGAGAGGACGGUCGGCCACACUGGAACUGAGACACGGUCCAGACUCCUACGGGAGGCAGCAGUGGGGAAUUUUUGGCAAUGGGCGAAAGCCUGACCAAGCAACGCCGCGUGGGUGAUGAAGUAUCUCGGUACGUAAAACCUUUCGACGGGGAAGAAACCGCAAGGUUGACGGUACCCGUAGAAGAAGCCCCGGCUAACUCCGUGCCAGCCGCCGCGGUAAU